ACGGGUGAGUAAUGCCUAGGAAUCUGCCUAGUAGUGGGGGACAACGUUUCGAAAGGAACGCUAAUACCGCAUACGUCCUACGGGAGAAAGUGGGGGAUCUUCGGACCUCACGCUAUUAGAUGAGCCUAGGUCGGAUUAGCUAGUUGGUAGGGUAAAGGCCUACCAAGGCGACGAUCCGUAACUGGUCUGAGAGGAUGAUCAGUCACACUGGAACUGAGACACGGUCCAGACUCCUACGGGAGGCAGCAGUGGGGAAUAUUGGACAAUGGGCGAAAGCCUGAUCCAGCCAUGCCGCGUGUGUGAAGAAGGCCUUCGGGUCGUAAAGCACUUUAAGUUGGGAGGAAGGGCUCAUAGCGAAUACCUGUGAGUUUUGACGUUACCAACAGAAUAAGCACCGGCUAACUUCGUGCCAGCAGCCGCGGUAAUACGAAGGGUGCAAGCGUUAAUCGGAAUUACUGGGCGUAAAGCGCGCGUAGGUGGCUUGAUAAGUUGGAUGUGAAAUCCCCGGGCUCAACCUGGGAACUGCAUCCAAAACUGUCUGGCUAGAGUGCGGUAGAGGGUAGUGGAAUUUCCAGUGUAGCGGUGAA
rnacentral:rRNA from 1 species